rfam:Dipodomys ordii contig_37262, whole genome shotgun sequence.
GGGAAUGUAGCUUAGUGGUUAAGUGUUUGCCUAGCAUGCAUGAGGCCCUAGGUUCAAUUCCUUGGUACCA